AAUGAACGUUGGCGGCGUGGAUUAGGCAUGCAAGUCGAGCGGAAAGGCCCGCAAGGGCACUCGAGCGGCGUAAGGGACAGUAAUGUGUAGGUAACGUACCCCUGGGUCUAGGAUAGCUGCGGGAAACUGCAAUUAAUACUAGAUAACGUCUCCGGACCAAAGGUGUGAUUCCACCUGGGGAGCGGCCUACAUCCUAUUAGCUAGUUGGCGAGGUAAUGGCUCACCAAGGCGAAGAUGGGUAGCAGGUGUGAGAGCACGACCUGCGUCACUGGGACUGAGACACUGCCCAGACACCUACGGGUGGCUGCAGUCGAGAAUCUUCGGCAAUGGGCGAAAGCCUGACCGAGCGACGCCGCGUGUGGGAUGAAGGCCUUCGGGUUGUAACCACUGUCGGAGGGGAUGAAAUGUUAGUGGGUUCUCCC
rnacentral:rRNA from 1 species